rnacentral:rRNA from 1 species
GGCGGCGUGGAUAAGACAUGCAAGUCGAGCGGGAUUUCCAGGGUAGCAAUAUUCUGGAGGUUCAGCGGCGCAAGGGUGCGUAACACGUGGGUAAUCUGCCGUGAAGCCCGGAAUAACUCGCUGAAAGGCGAGCUAAUACCGGAUGUGACGUUGGGGAGGCAUCUUCCUGACUUUGAAGCUGGGGACCGUAAGGCCUGGCACUUCACGAUGAGCCCGCGGCCUAUCAGCUUGUUGGUGAGGUAACGGCUCACCAAGGCUAAGACGGGUAGCUGGUCUGAGAGGACGACCAGCCACACUGGAACUGAGACACGGUCCAGACACCUACGGGUGGCAGCAGUCGAGAAUUUAUCACAAUGGGCGAAAGCCUGAUGGAGCGACGCCGCGUGGGGGAUGAAUGGCUUCGGCCCGUAAACCCCUGUCAUUUGCGAUCAACCGUUGUUAUUUAAAAGAUGUC